rnacentral:rRNA from 1 species
GGGGAAUUUUCCGCAAUGGGCGAAAGCCUGACGGAGCAACGCCGCGUGAGGGAUGAAGGCCUCUGGGCUGUAAACCUCUUUUCUCAAGGAAGAAGAUCUGACGGUACUUGAGGAAUAAGCCACGGCUAAUUCCGUGCCAGCAGCCGCGGUAAUACGGGAGUGGCAAACGUUAUCCGGAAUUAUUGGGCGUAAAGCGUCCGCAGGCGGUCUUGUAAGUCUGUCGUUAAAGCGUGGAGCUUAACUCCAUUUCAGCGAUGGAAACUACUAAGCUGGAGUACGGUAGGGGCAGAGGGAAUUUCCGGUGGAGCGGUGAAAUGCGUAGAGAUCGGAAAGAACACCAAGGGCGAAGGCACUCUGCUGGGCCGACACUGACACUGAGAGACGAAAGCUAGGGGAGNCAAUGGGAUUAGAUACCC